AUUGAACGCUGGCGGCGUGCCUAACACAUGCAAGUCGAGCGAGAAGGGACCUUCGGGUCCUGGAGAGCGGCGAACGGGUGAGUAACACGUGGGUAACCUGCCCCAAGGACUGGGAUACCGCUCGGAAACGGGCGCUAAUACCGGACGUUCUUGCAUUGCGCAAGCAGUGCAAGCAAAGGUAGCUUCGGCCUCCGCCUUGGGAUGGGCCCGCGGCCUAUCAGCUUGUUGGUGAGGUAACGGCUCACCAAGGCUACGACGGGUAGCUGGUCUGAGAGGACGAUCAGCCACACUGGGACUGAGACACGGCCCAGACUCCUACGGGAGGCAGCAGUGGGGAAUCUUGCGCAAUGGGCGAAAGCCUGACGCAGCAACGCCGCGUGGAGGAAGAAGGCCCUCGGGUUGUAAACUCCUGUCAGGGGGAACGAAGGCACCUGGGUUAAUAGCCCAAGGGUUGACGGUACCCCCAGAGGAAGCCACGGCUAAC
rnacentral:rRNA from 1 species